CCUGGUGGCUCAGAUGGUAGAGAAUCUGCCUGCAAUGCAGGAAACCUGGGUUCAAUCCCUGGGUCAGGA
rnacentral:tRNA from 1 species